AUUGGAUAGAAGGUAUUAAAAAUGUCAGCACUAUUGUUGGUUGUCACGUCCAGUUAAUCUGGGAGUUAUUUGCAAAAGACCACCAUGUUUCCAUUUACAAGAUUUCAGGAAAAGGUGUUGAAAACAGAUUGUCCAAUAGUGAUAAAUACCAUAUAGACACAAGUCAAGUCCAUAACAUCAGUAUAACCAUUACCAACAUCACCAUGGAUGAUGCUGGUGUAUAUAGAUGUCGGGAUAAUGUUGUUAUAGAGAAAUGGGCAGACUUGUAUUUAACAGUCACGGAUCUGCUGUGGAAGGAUAAUCCUACAAUUGUCAGAGUAUCUGUUGGAGAUGAUGUAACAAUGAUGUGGGAAUAUUUUUUAAAUGAUAUAAAUAACCAUAAAACAGUUUAUAAACAAACACCUGGAACUACCGAUAUCUAUGAUGAUCUUAGUAAAUGGGACAAUGAGAAGCUAAUUGUUAAAGGAGACGACUCAAGGAUGGAGAUUAAUAUAACGGAGAGUAAUGAUGGUCGUACAGAAAUAGUGAUGUUAACCAUACAUAAUAUACGUAUUGAAGACUUUAAAUAUAUUUAUAACAUGAAAAGACAAAUUCCCCACAACAAGUGUAUCAGAUAUGGCAAACCCGUUUCA